CACCUAUAGGAGCCCAAAGAGUUUGCAGAGAGAGAGAGUGAUGCUGAAGAAUAGAUUCUGACCCUAUUCCAUGCAGCCUUAUUCACCUAUGACUGGGAAAAAAAAAUCUUUGUUUUUUUCUUCAUUGCCUUCCCAGAACAAAAUGCAUGUCUUGUUUGGGACAUGGGCUAUGUGAGGAGAUAUGGUAAGAUUCCACAACCCAUCUAGAUUCUGGCAUUCCCUAACUUCUUUGAGUAUUUAAUAUAGCAUCCUUAAUAAUGUUCUUCUGACAGUUUUUGUGUGUUAGGCAUGUGAUAUGUUAGGAUUCACUUGAAUCCACAGGAUCAUUUGGCACAGCAAAAACUGACAUUUUGAUUCUGCCGUUAACUUGCACAGUUUGUGCGUCGGGGAGCGCUGGCAUGCCCCCACUCUCCCAUCUGCCUUUUAAACACCUCAGGUUACUGAGUACAAGUGACUGUUAGAAGCAGGCAAAGGCACUCUUGUGCUACAGAUGUGUUCCAGCCAUACUGUAACAUGAUUUGGUUUUGCCUAUUGAGGACCAGGUUAUAACCACACUAAGGGAACAGUGCUAUGGCUAGUCACAGGGUUGUCUGGUCCUAGCAUGCAAAACUAAAUUGUUUAUAACACAGUUGAAAGCCACACAUGUUGCAAAUAGGUUUCCUAGCAUGGCUAUAUAAUAGGAUGAGUCUUGUCUUGAUUAUCAACAGUGAUUUAAAUUUCUAAGCCAAAGGGGAGAAAGAGUUUAGCAGACAUGCUGGUGUGGAGGAUGGUGUCUGUGCCUUUGCCUCAACUUUUCUAUUAAAAUGUACACAAAUCACUUUGAAACCUCCAAGUGCUAACACACUUGAUGUUUAUUUCCCUCACACAGCAAAAGCCACAACAGAUUUUACUACCAAGGCCAGGUGUGGUUUUCAAGCCAACUUUUAAUCUUAUAAUUGGCAGGAAGUGCAGGGUCCUGCUUGAGCCGUACAGUCUCCAGACUAACUGUGAAAAAGUGUACUAUGACUGGCAAGAAGGAUGGUCAAGGGGACAGGCUUUGAUCUCUUUAGUUGACCUCUAGCUGUUCAAGUUGAUGUGUAGUAGGAAGGGAAAUAUAUAGGAAGUCCUAUAGGAAAGCAAAGUGUAAUGGUAUUUUAGACACUCAGAUGUUGUUCAGUAGUCCCCCUAAAACUUACCAUGGCACAAACCCAAGUGAAACAAAUCCAAAAUGAGCGUUAGAUUCUUUUGAUAUUCAUCCACCCCUAUUUCUUUACAUACAGCCCUAGUUACCUGGAGAAGGACCGAGUUGAUGUAUGUUCUUCUACUCUACCGGUUCUUCUGGUUCUACCAGUCUUCUAGUCUAGGAGGAGAGGAGCCACGCAUAAGCUAAAGACUUCUUUGCUCAUCUACUUUAGUCCUGCCUGUUCUUGGGAACCAUUUCCCCCCCUCCCACCCUCCACUUAACGAUCAUGAGCUAUUUACAAUCCCCAGUGCAGUACCAAGGAAAGCCACAGCCGUGGAUCUUUUGGUCUUACCAUAGUCCUGGUUUCUAGCUGUGGGAGACAAUGCUGGUAGGGUUGUCAUAAAGCCCCUUUUUGUAGUUGACUUCUCUGCUUAGCUGCCCACAGGUGGCAGUCUCAAUGGCAGCCUGGUUCUAUGGAGCUGAUGGCAAGGGGUGAUGCAUUAUAACUGAGUUGCAGGGGAGUUGCUUGACCUGUGUGCUGCUGUAUGGCUUCUAAUAUGUCUGUGUGAUUAGGGUGUGUAAAGUGGUAAAGAUCAUCAGACUGCAGAAGCUUUCCACAAUGGUGAUUACCUAAUAGCACAUAGCUCCAGAUUAGAAAGAGGGGCCUAAAGGGGAGUGAGUAAGGGGAGAGAAUUAUCUCUUGAAAAAAUGAUAAAUUCUGGUAGUGGUGUACAGACUCGGACACACACAAACUGGACUCUGCUGUUGUAGCAGCAGGAGGCCAACCCAAAGAGUCUCCAAAAACUACUGUUUCAUUUAAGAAAAAGAAAAAAAGUCAGUAUGACUUUAAGUAUUGAGAGCUGUCUCCCUCCCCCUCCUCGCAUCCUUACCUCUGGCCUAUGAGAACAGUGGUUGACAGGAGUCUAGAGGAGGGGAACUAGGGAAUUGUUUAAUGGGGCCAUUCAGAAAAGUCCAGGUUGAUUUGGUGUUUAUAAGGCAAUUACUGAACACAUUUUGGCUCUUGAGCUACAUGAAGUCUUAGUGCAAACACACAAAUGUGGCAGGUUUGAAACCAGAUUGGAAACAGACAUGCAUUCCUGUUCUUUAAACUGACCCAAAAAUGAAUCUUAUUUGAAAUGCUUUGUCCCCAUGCAGAGGAUAGAUGUUAUUUGGAACCUGUUUGCACAAGACAAUUCCCUCUCCAAAUAGUUGGUGGGACUGCAUUAUUUCAGUUGGGGCACUGACUGUGAGUCCUAGUUAGGAGCAGCAAAUGAUCUUGUUGCUUAGCUAAUGCUGAAGCAAGUUAAAAAUCUACACCCAGCCAUGAUUUAACUGACAGUGGAAUCCUGCAGCUGUCAGGAAUAUUGCAGGUUACUGAGCUUUCAUUUUGACAGCUCAGCCUCGCUCUGACAAUGGCAAAGUGAGCAGCUACCCAGCUGCUUUGUGUACUUCGGUAUCCAACUUUUCCCUCCUUUUCACUGGGUUUUCUCCUUGCCCACCCAUCUGGAGUCCACUCUGGCAACCUUCCUCCUCCUUUGGCUGGGGCAGAGGGAAAUGGGUGGAAAGGGAGGAACAAACAGCUGUCCUUCUAGGCUCCAAAUCAAUGCCGCUCCUUAGCAGACUGGCAGUGUGAGUUCAUGCAUUUAGGCUGGCUGCUCUUUCAUACAGGAGACUUUGUGAGCCAAUUCUUCCCCAGCCCAGGACAAAGAGGUAGGGAAUACAGCCCUGUCCUCCUUGCCAGCUUGCAGGACCAUCGGGCUGGCACAAGCCUCUUGUGUUUCUGGUGUACGGUACAGUGGAGGACUCUGCUGUCACUUGGGGCAGAGGAGAGCUCUGCUUCUAGUAUUUCUCAGAAAGUGCUGAAGCUUUGCAGUCUCCACACUGAAUUCCCUGUGCUUGUUAAGGUCACCCUCCCUGAGAAGGGAGUUAGUUAUGGAAAUGAGAUCUCAAUUUUCCAGUUUAGAAGGCCUAAAUUUUGCUCUGUUGAAACCUGUGAGUUUAACAGCUUUAAAGAAUGAGUCAACUUGAGUUAAAACUGGCCGGUAGAAAUGCUUGUAGGUCCAUUUGACUUCUGUGCUGAGCCACAUCCUCUGGGUUAUUUGACCCCAGCAGUCUUUCCUGCCGCAGGAGGCUGGACCCGAUGAUCUCACAAGGUCCCUUCCAGCCCUAAAUUUGUGUGAAUCUGUGAGAGCUGGGCCCACUGAAUUUAUGACAGUGAAACUGAGUGAAAUUUACAUUGCACUUGUCCGAGUUUAAUUGUACAGUUUGCUCUGCUGUGCUUGUGGUUUCAAAUAUUUUAAAUAACAGUAGCACCAUAAAUCUAAGAAGAUAAAGGCUAAACAUCCUUUCCGCUAGCAUUGUAGUUGCAGCAGUGAGACCUGGUUUUUUAGAAGUGUGUUGGGUGCCUUUCCCUCCGUGGAAGUCUAUGGGAACUGCUGGUAUUCGCCACCUCCAAACUCUUAAUUGAUGUCAGCACUUCAUGCCAGAUUGGAGGAUAAGAAAUAUCCUGGUCAAAAUCUCAUUAACAAACACCACUCCAAUCCACAUCCGCUAUAUUGACAGGGCCGGAAAUGUGGUUCUAGCUUCACAAGUGUGAACUGGACCUCCUUGUUGGUUGACAUAUGAUGGUGAAAGGAAUCGUGGUAGAGGGAAACAGAUUUUUCCGGGGGACUGUAGAAAGGGGUUUUGCAUACUUCUCAACAGACAAAACUGGUGGAAAAGUCGCUUGUCAGUGAAUAUACCAGUAAUGGGCAGAGACUUGAAAUGUAGGCGUGUUCUCUGCUUGACAGAAAACCUGCUGCUUAGCAGCAGAAAGGUGAGUUACUGAAGAAGAUGCUUGCCUCAGUGCUGUAUUUCUUCUUCAGUGUGUUGGCGCAGGAAUUUUCUUCUACCAUCUGUUCUGCUGUUGUUAAGUGGGCCCCAAACCAGUGCUUACAUUUGGGGAGGUUAGGAACCUACGUGAAGGGGAGGUACAAUUGCUGGUAGGAACAGCCUACAGAAACAAAAGGGAUGCUGGAAGACGUAGCAAGUGGAUUAAUCUACAGCCACACCAGAUGUCCUCCUUCAAGAGGUAGAUUUACUCUCAGCUAUGUUUUAAAGAUGGCUCCUAUGUACUUGCUAUGCUUCUGGGCAGGGACAAUCUUCUGAUAUGUAUUUGUGCAGGACGUUAGGACUCUGAGUGAAGCCUCUUUGCAUUAAUGUAAUACAAACAGUAACAGUACCCUUGGUUCCAGCUGUGAAACCCCUAAGGAUUUUACUGAGUUUGCUGCUGUGUAUUUGAGGGCAGAAUUUGCAGGGGCCGAAUCAAAGCAGAAUAAUUGCAGUAACAGCAGUCACUGCUGCGAGCAGUUCUCCCCCAGUUAGAAAAGGACCCGUUCUGCCUGUGACAGGAGUUUGAAUGUGGAGAAAAAGGAUUGUAUUGGUGCACUUAAAGAUCUUCCUCCGACGCAUGCAACAACCUAGUCAUAAAUUCCAUCUGAUGCUGGGAAUGUGCUAAACUAGAUUUACUGCAGUGGGUAAACCUGCUAUGUCUCCCCUUUUUCUAUCUGGGCUGUUUAUUUCCUCUCCCUGGGUACAAGACUUGACAUUUGUUUGCGCUUCAUCUUUCCUAUUUAUCUUCAGCCCUCCCCCAACCCCCCCCCUCACCCCCCUUGCUCUGAUCUCCACAAGUCACUCCCUAGGUUGCGUGUGUGCUGCCCCUCUGCCAUUUGCUGCCAUCAGCACAUUUGAUCAUGGCUGAAUUUACAUCAAAGAAACACCUGACAAAGAAGGAAGCUUGAUAAGCUCCAGUUUCUUUGCAGCAACCCAAACAGGUAGAGGCAGACAAGUGAGCUCAGGCAGGAACACAAGGAAGUUGCGCUCUAGUUUCAAGUAAGCGUGCUUCGCUCUCCUGAUAGAAGCAGUGCUGCAGACCACCGCUGCUGCCUGCUCACCACAGCAAUGCUUGUACAUUAGAAAACAGAGCUACUGCUGGUACAGUGGGGAACCCAGGCGACGCAAAAACUGAAGCUGGCAUCAUUCUUCUCCUAUAAAACCAGCAGGUGAUUAGAAAACUGUGAGGCACAAAAAAAGGCCUCCAACUAACUAGAACAAAGUGAGAAAAAGGCUCUUCUCGCAAGGAAAAGCUGCUAUGGUUGUAGCACUAGCAGUACAUCUCUCAGACUCCUCUCUCUCUCUCUCUCCCCCCUCCCGGGGGGAGAGCUUUGUGCAAAACUAUAUAGUGGAGAGAAAAGGAUACAAUCAAAAAGCGAAUCAUCUGCAAAGCUGAACCCUCCUAUCUCCUUACAGUGUCCAGAAAGGUGACCAAGAGGUUCCAAACUAGUUUUUCUAGUAAAACACCUAGCAUCAUGAAAGCAAGUUUGCUUUGGUUUGUUUUUAAUCAUCUCUGCUUCCAGUAGGUUUUCCAGACUGUCCUUUUUCUAUAUCUAGGGAAUUUGCUGCCGAGACCUGAUUUGUGUAAUCAUAGUCAAAACAAUACGUAUCUUUGUCCAGCUGAGAUUAUGCUGCGUGAGAUAAGAAGCCAUUUGUGGCAGUGCCUGGAUUCAAGCAACAGCCAGUGUGAAUGUCACCUGUUUGCAUUUUUGAAGGCUUGAGUUGUACAUACUAGGCUAGCAGGUACAUGUGAAACAUCUCUGUGGGUAGGAAGAAGAGGUCUGUCCACCUAUGACAUAACAAGACUUUUUCCCUCCCUCCACAAGGAAAGUGAAACAUGCUCUAGGAGCUCCACAGGAUUGCUUAUGGGUGUCAGUUUUGUGUAUAGCUGGUGUUACUCCCAGCAGAAUAGACAAUCUGGGGUCUGACCAUCCAAAAACAUCUGCAGCCUUCUACACUCAGCCAGUCCUGAAAGACUGCAUAUGCUGGCUCUGUACUAGGCCAUUUGAUUGAGGGGGAAAGUUAGUUUAUUGAGGCUUUUAGGGUACAAUCUAGUGUCAAUAGACACUCGUUAUGGAGCUACUCCACGAAGUGUUGGUAUGGAAGUCUGCUGCCCUGCCCUUCUACUGAGGCAACCGAGCAAGGCCUUGUACACUUGUGGAAAGAGAUACUAAGUACUGGCUAAGGGGUGGGCAAAAUCUGGCCCAUGGUGGACUGUUUCCUAGCAGCCCCUGUGGCGACCACUCCUGGCUGCUGCUGCUGGACCCAACUCCACUGCUGGAGCACCCCAGCCCAUCCGCUCCCCACCUACCACCAGUGGCAGGACCCACACAGGCAGGGUGUACAGCUGAGCGACUGGGACGGGGCUCUGGCUGGGAGUGAGACUGGUGGGCAGGGCUGGGGAGAGCCUGGGAUCUUGGGCAGAGGCCAGGGCCAGGGCCAGGGCAGAGCUGCAAUCCGCUGCCCCUGCGCCCCUGCAACGAGCAUGGGGUCCAUGGGCAGGGUGUGCAGGGAGCAGAUCGCAGCUCGGCCCCGGCCCUGGCUCCAUGCUGUCACUGCUCCAAGAUCCCGGCCUCUGCCCAAGAGCAGCUGCUCACCCUGCCUGUGUGGCUCCCAGCCAGUCUCCAUGGAGACCCCAGGAUCAUGGGGCUGGUGCCAGGGCCAGGACUGGAGCCCCGCUUCUGUGGCCCUGCACUGUCACAGUCCCAUGAUCCCAGGGUCUCUGGAGACCAGCUGGGAGCCACGUGGACAGGGGCUGGUGGGAAAUGGAGUCUGGCUGUGGGCCAGAUCCACCAUUUUGCCCACACCUGUACUAGCUCCACAACGACCUAUUCUAGACGCUGGACUACUUUUGACUAGUGAGAUUCUUGCAAUCAAAAGCAGUUUCUUGGUUUCACCUUAAAAUGGCAUAAACAUUCUUUCUCUUCUGGAUUAGAAAAAAGUGUGUGCACAAGAUAAGGCAGAGAGCUUCUAGCUAAGGCACCGGUUUUGAGUGCUGUAUCUCUUUAAAGGGCUAACAAAGUCCUUGAAGGCCACACAAGCUACGUGAUGAUGGCAGUGCCGUCAGCCCCUACAAUGUUAUCACGAGUCUCAUGAUAAUCCGUGUUUGUCUUGAAGGCUCAGCUCCUGCUCUCCUGUGAUUACACAAGAAGCUUGGCUUUCGUCAUUUUUAUUAAAGUAAGCUUCUGGACCUGUUAGUUGCAGAGACUCUUGAAAAUGUGAGUUUUAAAAAGUUCAAAACCCAGAGGCAAAUACAAAGUAUUUUAAUUAACACACGUGCACACUUACACAUGCACAUGGUUUUUGCAGCAUUCUCAAGAUGAGGGGUUUGACUUGCAACUCCUAAGCACUUAGGCACUGGCGGGCAUGACAUGAAUGUUGGCUUCAAAUUUAAGCACUUAAAAUCUGCUUGUCUACCCCCAAAAUGCCAUGUGUUGGAAUUCACCCUUUUCCAGAAAAACUGGAACCAUGAACUUGGAUCUGAACUCAUAUCUGAGGGGUUGAUUUGUACCCUCUUAACCUUUUAAGUAACUUGCCCAUGGUCACCAAGAAGCCUUCUCAGCACAGAAAGGCAUGUCUCCCCACUUGGUGUUUUAGCCCACAGCUCCUUCUCUACCUGGUAAGCAACAUUAAAAAAUAAAGGCCACAUCAUGCUUCAAAAUCUUGACUUUUUUAACUUUUCUAUUUCCUUUUCUGCUUUUCUCUUGAACUUUAGCCAUUGAUUUUUUUUUAUUAUUAUUUUUUAAGAAGGAAACAAAUCAAUUUUCAAACAUUACAGGGGGGAAGAACUAAAAGGAAAAAAUGUUUAGAAAAAGCAGCGAAAUUAAUAUUGAAAAAAGUGCAGGAAAAAGUUUGACAAGUGGCUAAUAUUUUCCCCUCCUUUCCUCACCAAAACUCCACUUGCAAAUAAGGCCUGUGUGUGACAAAAACACAAUUUCAAACAUUUUUUCUGUAGAGUUAUUAGAACAGCCCCUCAAUUGAAAUGCAGCUUUUGCCUUAGAUUUUCCUUGUAAAAAAUUAUGAAUAAAUUGCACAGUUUAACACAAAAUAGAGACUCCACAGGAAAUGGUGUCAUUUGAUGCGGGCAAUCAUUUAAUGACAGGCACUUAUAUAUAUGCUUUUAAGUUUUUUAUGUGAAUCUUUCAGGGGUCUGGGGCAACACAGUGUCCAUUGUGCGCUGACGAUUCACAGGUUUCCAGUUGCCAAGAGCAGCCAGAGUGUGCCAAACAGCCUGUAAUCUGAGAGGCCUGGGUUCAACUCAGUGCUCUGCCACAGAUGCUCCUAAAUGACAUUAGGCAAGUCACUUAGUCUCUCUGUGAAGAAAAAAUAUAUUGCCGUUAAAAGCUGUAGGCAGAGCUAGCAUGUGAACUGCUGGGAUCUGAAACUGAACUGAAGGGUAUGUAUGAACCAGGUGACAGAGAUCAGUUGUUCACCAAGUCCUAAAAUACUAGCACCAUGGGGUGCCCACUGUAAUUAGUAGGUGGCAGGUUUAAAACUAACAAGAGGAAGUUCUUUGUUAUCUAAUGCAUAAUUAACUUGUGAAAUUCAUUGCCACACAAGGUGGUAGAGGCAGAUCUCACAGCCAGGUUCAAAAAGGGACUAGAUAAAUGCAUGGAUGAUAGAUCUAUUAAUGACUAUUGAACAGAAGGGUUAGAGAUGUUUCCUCUGGUGCCUUUAGACCUAUAAUGGUAGAUGCCAGGGAGGGUAUUAAAUAGGGGAUAGAGCACUAGAAAUAUGAGGUUCAAUCCUGUCCCUCUAUAGCAUCCACUUCUGCCACUGUCAGAGACACAAUACCGGGCUAGAUGCACCAUUGGUCUUACCCAGUCAUAUAACUGUGCCUGUUGUAGUUAUAAUGAAAUAAAUAUCAUCCAGGUGUUACCGGAUUUAGAUGACCUGGGGGAGCCUGGAGACAGACUGGGUUCUACUCUGAGCAUAGGGUGAGAGAGUACAGAGUGGGCAAGGAUAUACAGAGGGACUGGAGUGGGUGAUUGGAGGUGUGAGGGGAGGGGGCUUGUGGGUAAUGUAGGAGAGUUUGCAGAGAACCCUGUGGAGACAUUUAAUGGCAAUGUCAGGUAAGGGUGAUGAUGAGGCCUGAGCUGGGUGUGCAUCCUGGGACAGGAGACUUGUACACGGCAUGGCUUCUGACCUGGGCAUGAAUUUAGGGUGGGAAGCUCAAGUGCGCCAAGUUCUUGUACCUGAAAGGCUCCCAGUAGCACUGACUCCUGGCUCUCUUGUGUACUGACAGCAGCCCUAAAAUGCAGUCACUGAUGCUCAGGGCUUGAAUCUGUCCCAGCUCUCCACCCUCUUUUGCAUCCUGCCAGUUUCCCUAACACAGCUCUCUUUCCUCUCCUCAGGCCCACACACUGCUUCCUCCUGCUCUUCCCCAGCCCCACUCCCUCCCACGCUCACAAAGCUUUACUCUACCUCUCUUGGCCCCCUUAGCACUGCAGAGCACACCAUGGCCAUCAAAGAGAAGGGAGAAUUGGCAGGGGAGGGUAAGAGACAGCAACUGGACACAGAAGGCCAUGGGAGAUCUUGGCACAGGAGUUCAGUGGACAAAGCAUAGGUGUACCCCAUCGUCACUGAUGUCCUCUGCCAUGCUGCAGACCCACCUUGGCCACCAGUUUAGGACUGUCAGUAGAGGACUCUCAUUGGAGCAGGCACAGGAGGAAGUGCCUCGGGUCCCAACUCAGUAGCCUUGGCCAGAGCUGCUGCUGGAGGAACCCCGAUCACUGGGUAAGCUCAUAGAAGAGCAAGGAAUCUUGGCUGACCUGCAGAGCCCCUCACGCUGCUGACUGGCUUCAGACAGCAGAGCUACAGCGUGCAAAUAUAUUUGAGAGGAAUGUAGCCCUAGACUAAGAUGUUGCCAUCCUAUCCCAAUCUGUCUAAUACCCAGAGGUUGAAAUGAGGACUAGAAUUGAAAACGGACCAGCCUUGUAUCUUGAUCCAAGUGAUCAGAACCAUCAAGUGGUCUGUAUUGACAUACAUGGUGAAUUGAAUCAAAACUACAGAAGAAAAACUUCUCAUAAGUGCUUGUGUAUUCAAUUUCCACUGUCUCUUGACCUCUGAAUGUCACUCCUUGUUUUCUGCUCUCCUGGACCCGGCAGGCCCGGCCCAUUGGUUAAUGGGCAAGUGCUGCACAGCGUGGGACAAAUGACAGGCUUCCACCAUCCCUUCUCCCUUCUUUUUGCUCAGUUUGGAAAUAUCAUCCUGGGAUAUGAAAGGAAACCACUCUGUGUCCAGAUAGAUGUAGCAGUGGAAUUGUAUGAGCUGAGGUGGGACUCUGUAUUGGCAGAUCUUCAGCCUUGGAGACUUAAAAUUGCACCUGUCCUGUCCACGUUACCAGACCUCCGUUAAAGUGACGGCCUGGCAGGAAAUCCCCCGCUGAACAGGCAAAGAAUCAAAGUUCCCGGACCAGGAUUAAAUCACCCGGCCUCCUGCUACCGCCACACGACUGUCCCCAUAUGCUUUGACAAACCUGCUUUUAAAUAACUCUCACAAUGUCAUUUGUUCUUUGCGCACAGUGUCUCAUGUGGGUGGGUACAGACAUACAGCUUGAGGGCCAGGUUUUCAUGUGGUGCAAUGCCGUUGACUUUAUUGGGUGAUAAGGGGCCAGAGCACAAAACUGGGGGUUUCAGAAGUAUCAAUAAUGUUGCAUUCUUCAGGUUCCUUAAACAAUGUGUUCAUGGACACUAAUGUACAUAGAUUCCCAUUCGGUUUGGUUUGUCCCCUGGGGGAGAAGUAGGAGUUGUAACCCACCCAGCACUGAAAUGAUAUCACCUUUAAAAAUGGAAGUAUGUGACAUGACUUCUCUUUGCUGGGGAAAAAGACGACCAUCGGACCAGACACGUCUGUGUAGGUGAGAUCUGAACUAAAGAGUAGAGGCCUGCACUGACUCUUGUUUAUGUUGAUAUGAAUCAGGAGUGUCUCCUUUCCAUUCACUGGAGUUAAAUGGUUGGAAAAGCAAAUGUGUGGUCUGAAUGAAGACCCCGUAUGCUGGAAAGUCAGAUGCUAUCACUAAUAUAGACAGGUACUGACCCUUCCUAUUCCCACAACAGAGAAUUUCCCAUUUGGUUGCCUGCACACAAGGGAGAUAACAAAGAUGCACAAUAUUAUGCACAGAAUGCCUUGUGCAGCCCAUGUACCAACGACUUCUUUCCUUGGCCCAACUUAGAAGUGGAAUCUGGCAUUCAAACCCAGAGAAAGGGAAGGCAAAGGUUUAACUUGGAAGUAUGGCUGAGCUCAUUUACAAUAUCCAAGGAUGGGACUUUUCCUUGUUAGAACUGACAGAAUAUAAGUAGGGUCUGUGUGCGAGGAGGGGAGAGGUUAAAGCCAGUUUGAAAAGGGCCUACAAAGAUAUUCUGUUAAAUAAUAUACAAGCUGGGUUCAACAUCAUUAGCCCCUUCUUGUUUACAAGGCAAGUUAUUUUGGAAAAUACAAUGCAAGCUGAUGAAUGUUAAGAAGAAGAAAAUGUAGUGUCUUCCUGGUUAGGGAGAGAAUUAUCUAUCCUCCCACACCAGCCCAGACAAGUCAAUCUAUUUCCUCCCGCAGCUGGUAGAGACAGGAAAAGAAUGAGAUUCUGACGACAAGAGCUUGUUGGAUCCAUCAGCUCCCCUGAAGCAAUGGGGCUAAACUUACCCUGAACUGGGUAGAGCUGCCCUUC